GGGGACUGGGCAGGGCCUGAGCGGGUUCUGUGCCUGGCUGCCCACCGGCUCUCUGACCUGGACCUCGCCGUCGCUGGCCCCUGAAAUCCAUCACUUUAGUCGGCUAUUCUGUGACGCCACAACGAGGCGUACCCAGGUACCCAGUACCUGGGUACUGGGCCCUCAAGAGGAAGGACGCGGGAAACGCGUCCGGGCCAACUCUCGAGAGGGUUUCACCCCUGCCCAGUGCGGGCACUGCCCGCUCCCUUCCGCCCCCAGGCCUCGCAGGCCCCUCCGGGGGUGCUGCCCACCCCCACUUACCUUUCUAGGCUCUGCUGACCCUUCGGGAUUCGCGGCUAGCUGUGAUGUGUCCGCCAAGAUCUCUUCUCUUGUCUGUAAACAACUUCACUCUCGAGGCAGCUCUGGCCUCUCAGCAGGAGCUGGGGAGGAGUGACUGAAUAACUAUAGGAUUCGGUCUUGAUGGGAGAAUCCCAGAAGCCAAAUCCACGCGGUGAAUAAGCUGCUGAUCUUCCAGAGCACACAUCCCCUAGAGAUUCUUCCCAAUGCUAAUAUGAAAGGUUACAACCAUAACCCAUCAUCAGGCCCAAAUAUAUUACUUACUGAAUAAAUACACAAGUUACAACAACACACAA